GGGCCGCACCUGCGGCAUAUGGAGGUUCCCCAGCUGGGGCUCCAAUCCGAGCUGCAGCUGCCGGCCUACGCCACAACCAUAGCCAAGCGAGAUCCUGGCCGCGUCUCCGACCUACACCGCAGCUCAGCUCGAGGCAACGUCUGGUCUUUAACCCACUGAUAGAGACCGGGGAUGGAACCCGCAUCCUCACGGAUUUACUAUUCUCACUCUUAACCCACUGAGCCCCAACGGGAACUCCUUCACCUGUCCUUUAAAGAAUCCCCAAAGAUUUCCCUAAAGUACCCACCCUUCCCUUGUCCUCCCAAGCCCACAGACCCUCAGCUCCCCUCUCACCUGGAUGAGGAUCUUGCCAAGGCAGACAAAGGGGGUGCUGACCUCUGCCAUCAGCAAGCAGCCUAGAAAGAAAUCUCCUUUGCCUUGACGCCACACCUGCGAGGAGAGGAAGGAAAGAGCCUGGCACCCUGGAUUCCUGGGCAGCACCUGCCCUCCCUUGCUCCUCUCUGUCGCUUUUGGAGAUGCUUCGCUCUGAAAGCCUGAGCACAUGUGAACAGUAGCAAAACUGGGAGCACCCCUCCUGGAUCCCUCCCACCGUGCUGCAGACAGGAGGCCCUGGCUCUCAGAAGCCCCCACUCACCACCGACAGCGGGAAGCACACGAGCACCAUGACGGCGUGGUGGAGCACCAUGAGGAACUCCUUGUGCAGGAGGUGGAAACAAUGUAGCCAGCUGUGGAGGCCAUGACGGCUUGGACGGAGGACACGAGCCUAGGGAGGAAGAGGGAGCCGUCGGUUGGGGAGAAGAGGCGCCCCUUGGCUUCUCCUCUUGAUUGUCCAGUUACUGUGCUUCUCGGGUCACUCCCUGCCCAUCUUUCCCCAAGGCUGCCUUGCCCGGGGCUCAGCCCCAUUCAGACAGCAGUGAGCUCCUGGGUUCACCCCUUUCUCUGCCAUCUUCCUCCCCUCAACUGCGGACCCUGAGUCGCCGUCCCCUCAGGAGGACACCAGGGAGGUCAUCUUGAGGUUUAUUGUGCCCCUGGCUCCCCUUCCUCUGCAACUUCCUCUCCCCCUGGAAGAGGACCCUGGGGAUUGGCUGAUUCAAGCCCCUCAUCCAGCUGCAAGGAAAGGAGGCCCAGUGACUUGGCCAAGGUCCUGCAGCAGGUUGGAGUGGUUCUGCAGACCCCAGCAGAGGAGCGCGAAAGUCAACGGGAAGAAGACACAGCCCAGUACAAAAAGCAGGGUCAUGCCUGUCUGGGGGACAAAAGGACGUGUCUGAACACCCCGCGGAGGAAGAAGACAGCACCAGCCACUGCUGGCACGGGGCUGCAGCCCCUGGCUACACACACCUCCGAAAGACAGCGGCGACUUCGGACACCUCUCUCCCGCCCCAGCCUGACUCCCCAGGGGCGGUGUGAAACCAUGAGUGAUAAUAUCUCCAUCGCCAGCUUUGAACUUCAGACCUGGUGCCCUGUGCUGCCUCCUGCAUAAUGCAUGUGCUCGUGGUAGGAACAGAACCCCGUCCGUGGUGAGUCUGGCCACUGUGGGCCAUGGACGUGUCCAGAGGCCUUGCCAAGGCUGAUGUCUCUAGGAUGUUGGCAGGAAAUGAGGAGACAGAGGGAGUAUGUGUCACCUGAAAAUUUUCCUGGGGCUGAGGUGGGAACAGGUUGCAUCUUGAGCCUCAGGAUUCUGCAAAGAAAAUAGGGGAAGACAUGAGUUCCCAUGGCUCAGCGGUAAGGAACCAAAAUAAUACCCACGAGGACGUGGGUUUGAUCCUUGGCCCUGAUCAGUGGGUUAAGGAUCCGGCAUUGCUGUGAGAUGUGGUGUAGGCUGCAGACUUAGCUUGAAUCCUGCAUUGCUGGCUGUGGGGUAGGUCAGCAGCUGCAGCUCUGAUCUGCAGACCCUAAAAAA